UAAAACAUCAAUACAACUUAGCAUGUUAAUCAAUAUGUAUAAUAAAUCAUUUGAUUAUCUGUCUGCAAUGGUCUGCUAUAAUAGACAUCAUUUUGUGCCACUGUGUAAUACACAUCAACAAAACAAUGACAGGAAAUAGUUUAUAAAUCCAUGUUGGCGUGUAAUGGACACCCUUCUACUUUGCUGGGGGUCAUUUGCAUAAACUGCACCGAAACGAAAUGCCAACUUGUCCUUCCAUUUAAUUUUUAACGACUUUCAAUUUCUGUUUAUAUGGCAUUUGUGUAUUCAGAACAACCUAAUAUAUGUGCAUUUGUUGUUGAUUUUAAUUAACUUAAAGACAGAAAUGAAAUAAUUGAUUAAAUAUUGUGAUUAUGAACUAUAAAUGUGCAUAUCCGAUAUAUUGAGG
rnacentral:lncRNA from 1 species